rnacentral:rRNA from 1 species
CGCGCAGGUGGCCAGGUCAGUCGAAUGUGAAAGCCCCCGGCUCAACUGGGGAAGGUCGUUCGAUACUGCCUGGCUCGAAGAUAGGAGAGGGAAGUGGAAUUUCAGGUGUAGUGGUGAAAUGCGUAGAUAUCUGAAGGAACACCAGUGGCGAAGGCGACUUUCUGGCCUAUUCUUGACGCUGAGGCGCGAAAGCUAGGGGAGCGAACG